UCCGAGCUCCACAGGACAAGGGUGCCGGAUAACGUCCGGUGAAGGCGACUUUAAGGAAAGUGCAACAGAAAUAAACCGCCGCGCUAAGCGCGGUAAGGAUGGAAAGGUGGGGUAAGAGCCCACCGGCAGACCGGAGACGGCCUGCGUCCCUGUAAACCCCACCCGGAGCAAGAUUGAUAUGGGAGCAUUCAAUGGCUGUCCGUCACGCUCCCCGUAAUCGCUGGAGCUGCAUGGCAACAUGCAGCCAAGAUAGAUGGUCACAUAAACAGAACUCGGCUUACGGCUUGCUCAAAAC
rnacentral:RNase_P_RNA from 1 species